GUGAGAUUGAGACUUCAUACGGAAACGAAGUGUAUACAUUGUAGAAUAUGAAUGUAAAUAGAAAUAUAUUGCUGUUGAUAUUAUAGUUCUUGAAACAAAUCAUAUUAACUUAAUUGAAUAUCAGAAAAAAACACUCCCAGCAAAAGGAAAUGAAGAACGAGAUUGUUGUUAAACACAACAUGAGGCUUUGUUUUGUAGGAACAUCAUGAUGAAGCUGUUGGUGCUCACGCUGUGCCUGCUGGUCACCACCUUGGCUUCUCCGUUGCGGAGAGUGACAGCAAUGAGGAAAAAGUUGAUGCUGCACCAGUCCAGGCUGCUGGCGUCCCUCCUGCUGCUGCCCAAGCUGUCGGAGACGCAUCGGAGGAGGAGACAGAGGCUGGCAACCCUGCACCCAAAGACGCCGUCCCCCUAAGCUCUGAUGAGGUCGAGGAGGCCGAGGAGGUUGAGGAGGUUGAGGAGGUGGAGGCAGCUGAGGCUGAACCUGCAGCAGCUGUUGAGCUGGCCGUGGUUGACGCCCCAGUGGACGCUGCAGCCGCUGAAGCUACAGUUGUGGACGUGCCUCCUGUUGACGCGGUUCUCGUUGACGCUGUCCCUGCAGCCCCUGAGGUGGCUGUUGAUGCGGCCGCCCCGGCCGCUGCUGACGUCCCUGUUGCUGCUACUGCUGAUGCCGCUGCCGUUGAUGCCGCUGCUGCCGUCCCUGCUGCUGCCGGUAUCGUUGAUGCCGCUGCCGUUGAUGUCGUUGCCGUUGAUGCCACUGAUGCCGGUGUUGUUGAUGCCGUUGAUGCCGGUGCCGCUGAUGCCGCUGCUGCUGAUGCCGCUGCUGCCUCACUGGCAGCUGAGAUUGACACAACUGGAGUGGCAGCAGAUCCUGUUGCAGUGUAGUUCCUUCUUGUCAUCCCCAGCCUCUUUUCCUAGCAGUGGAAACAGCCACUGUGUGUGUGUGUGUGUGUGUGUGUGCAGUGCAAAAGUAAGCUGUGUCACAUUGAUUCAUCAAGAAUGAACAACAAGUUGUGUGUUUUUAGUUAAGAAUUGGACAAUUAAAACAUUUUGUUGUGUUGUUUUUUCUGUCUUUAAUAAAAAUACUUUUUGAAAAUCUUAGUAGUUUGAAUUCAGUUGUGAUUGUUUAGUCAG
ensembl:lncRNA